rnacentral:rRNA from 1 species
GGUUAAGCGACUAAGCGUACACGGUGGAUGCCUAGGCAAUCAGAGGCGAUGAAGGACGUGCUAAUCUGCGAUAAGCGUCGGUAAGGUGAUAUGAACCGUUAUACCCGACGAUUUCCGAAUGGGGAAACCCAGUGCAAUUCGUUGCACUAUCGUUUGAUGAAUACAUAGUCAAACGAAGCGAACCGGGGGAACUGAAACAUCUCAGUACCCCGAGGAAAAGAAAUCAACCGAGAUUCCCCUAGUAGCGGCGAGCGAACGGGGAGCAGCCCAGAGUCUUAAUCAGCAUUAGUAUCAGGAGAACGGUCUGGAAAGUCCGGCAGUAAAGGGUGAUAGCCCCGUAUCUGAAGAUGCUAGUGUUGUGAACUCGACGAGUAGGGCGGGACACGUGUUAUCCUGUCUGAAUAUGGGGGGACCAUCCUCCAAGGCUAAAUACUCCUGAUUGACCGAUAGUGAACCAGUACCGUGAGGGAAAGGCGAAAAGAACCCCGGCGAGGGGAGUGAAAUAGAACCUGAAACCGUGUACGUACAAGCAGUGGGAGCCUUGAUUUAUCAGGGUGACUGCGUACCUUUUGUAUAAUGGGUCAGCGACUUAUAUUCUGUAGCAAGGUUAACCG